rnacentral:rRNA from 1 species
GACGAACGCUGGCGGCGUGCCUAAUACAUGCAAGUAGAACGCUGAAGGAGGAGCUUGCUUCUCCGGAUGAGUUGCGAACGGGUGAGUAACGCGUAGGUAACCUGCCUGGUAGCGGGGGAUAACUAUUGGAAACGAUAGCUAAUACCGCAUAACAGUAGAUGUUGCAUGACAUUUGCUUAAAAGGUGCAAUUGCAUCACUACCAGAUGGACCUGCGUUGUAUUAGCUAGUUGGUGAGGUAACGGCUCACCAAGGCGACGAUACAUAGCCGACCUGAGAGGGGGAUCGGCCACACUGGGACUGAGACACGGCCCAGACUCCUACGGGAGGCAGCAGUAGGGAAUCUUCGGCAAUAGACGGAAGUCUGACCGAGCAACGCCGCGUGAGUGAAGAAGGUUGUCGGAUCGUAAAGCUCUGUUGUAAGAGAAGAACGAGUGUGAGAGUGGAAAGUUCACACUGUGACGGUAUCUUACCAGAAAGGGACGGCUAACUACGUG